GGGGAGGAGGGAAGGAUUGCAUUGGGAGUUAUACCUGAUGUAAAUGAUGAGCUGAUGGGUGCCGACGAGUUGAUGGGUGCAGCACACCAACAUGACACAAGUAUACAUAUGUAACAAACCUGCACGUUAUGCACAUGUACCCUAGAACUUAAAGUAUAAUAAUAAUAAAAAAAGAAAUAAAAAGCAAAAGUGAGGCACAGAUGAGAUGAGAGGUGCUUAUAUGAAAUCUCUUAUGUGAAUUUGUUUUAAGGUGACUUAAUUGAAACUCUGACUCUCUUCUUUUGACCCCUCAGCCUGAACAAUCCAUCAGCAACCCAUGAGCCAGCAGAACAAAAGAUGACAGAACUGGGGCUGGCAGAGCAAGUUAUUUGACAAGAAAUCUUAGAGUCCUCACUUUCUGGGAGCUCAGAGAAAGAUGUUGGAAGGAGAUCAUGGUACCACACGAACUUAUCUAAAAAUGAAGACGGUGGCGUGAGCUGGUACAGUCAGCCUGUACCCCAAAACCUCUACCCCAAAAUCUCUGAAUCUGUUUUUGACAGGACACAAACUUCCUGAGGACUUCCUUGUCAUUGAAGGUCCCUACAGUGUAAACCAUGAUCCUUUGUAUUUGGUUAAGUGGUCCAUGAACUUCCUUAUUUCCUUGAAUUGAGCAUCUUGGAUACUUAGAACUGUACCCUCUCCACAAAAACAAAUGAACAAACAACCUAAUUAUAGAGAUUUCUAAUCUAGCGGUUGGCAGAUUAUGCUGUGUAUGUGAUUUUGUUCCCGUUUAACUUUACUAUCUGAUUUCCUUCUGAAGCAUCCCUCAUUAUUCUGUAAUAUCUUUUAAAUCGCCAUGUCUCUGUGGAGUGUCAUCAAUUAGCAAAAUAUUAUGUCAGCUGAUAACAGCUUG
rnacentral:lncRNA from 1 species